GUGCCCUCUGCUUUUGGACUCUGCUUUUGCACUCUGCUUUUGGACUCUGUUUUCACCUCCUCUGGAUUUCCCUCACCCUGGACUCAGUUCUUCUUUUGGAUUCCCAUUAGCCCCGUUUUUUGUCCCCAGCCAGUAGCUCUAGUCUCGUCUCCGUUCACCCCAGAUUCUCCGAGCCUGCUUCCCUACCCCUUCUGUUCAGUUCCCCCAUUUAUAUCUGGAGCUUUGAUGGAUCCAACAGAUGUUAUCAGAUGGAGGACACUUUAAAGAUGCAGCAAACAACAAACAGUGUGGAGGUGGAAACUCUCCUCCACACCAACUGUGCAUAUUCUCCAGCUGAGGACGGCGACCAUCACGCCAACACUCGCUUUUGUUCACACGAUUGUGCUUCGAGCUCUGAAGCUGCCAGCCGUCCAUCCCGAGCACCAGGUGGACCAGGACGGCAGGGAAUAUUACAUAACGAAGACGCCCCCUUUUUCAUUCUAUCUCCCAUGAUUCCCUUCAUCUCAGCAGCAAUGAAGAAAGAGGCAGUUUGAGCUUAAUUUAGUGUUUCCAUAUCUGAUUCUUGGCUCUGGGUGAAGCCAGUAGACAUGGAUCUGCUGUGUUUAGUAGGUUGGUUUGUCACUUUCACAAGAUCUGAUGCUUUUUAAUGAGUUUUCUUAUUAAUAUAAAUGGAUUCUAAUGGAGUGGAAGCAAAUUCUACUCGGAAACUUGCUUAGAAGUAGUUCCUGUGUUAAAUUAUACACAGUUAAAUGAUGCAAAAUAAGACUCCAGCCACUUUUUUCUGCAAAUCAGUCACACUUCUCACAUAAAUCUGUGUUAAUUAUCACAGAUAUUUAACUGUUUUCCAUUUAAAUUCUCUUUAAACAUCUUCACUUGAUUGCUUUAUUCAAAAAAAUCCCAGCAGCAAGUGGCAUAAACUGGAUUUAUUUUGCAGGAAAUAAGAGAAAGAGUUUUACUGCCACCUAAAGGACAAAUCUGACCAGUACCAAAUGUGAG
ensembl:lncRNA